AAUAUGCAUAACAAUGUAUAGCAAGACCACAAACUUUUUCAAAUAAAAUCAGCACAAAAAUGAUUUCUUGAAAACAGAUGCUGAAUUUACACAAACACAUUUAGAAUGAUGAAUUAUACUGCAAAUAAGUUAGAUGAAUGUUUAUUUCUGCACUACUUGGGGCCUUUUCUCAGUUCCAAAAUAAUAUAUGAAGCAACUGAAAACGCUGAUGCUUAAUAUAUUUUUCCCUGCCCAUGUAGUGACAUUCAUUAAUCUGGGUUUAAAUAUACAAAGAUGUGUGUUAGAAACGUCUCCAGAGACAGUCCUGACACUAUUACAUGGUGACUAUUUUUGCAAAACUGCAGCUAUGCCUUAAAUCCGAUGUGAUGAUUCACUGGAACUCAAAACCUACAGCACAUUAUAUGUUUUUAAAGGGCUGGCAUAUAAAAUGAAUUAUUAUUUGGUGUGCAAUCUUUAUAUAUAUAAUAAGAUAUACAUGUAUUUACACACACAUACAUGCACACGCAUGUAUGAGACAUCAUGCAAGAGAGGCUUGGAGAACAUCUUAAAGAAGGGAAAGGCAGUCGCUGUUUACGAUACCAUCACAGAGCUAUAUUUAGUACAGAUUUUGCUAUCAGGCCAGAACCGUACACAAAGCCGUCACCCACACCAUAUUUCUUCCCUAACCUUCCCCACUGCUCUCAUUCGUGCAGAUGCUGUUUCAACUGUGUGGUUCCUAGGGCUGCCCUCAAGAACAGAGGACAUAAAAAUGCCAGAAGCCCCGUUUGCAUGAGAACUCCAACAACUGUGUUUACAGGAGAAGGACUACUGACAUGAAAGAGGCAUAGCAGCGCAGCCGAGAUCUGUCCUUCGCAACCCAUGUUCAGAGCCGUGGCGUGGACCUCGAUGCUGCAACACCUCCCGAGGCCUCGUGCCAGCUGCGGGUUUUCUAGAGGACGUUGGCACAGCACAGAAAGGCUCAGGUAGAAAACACAGUUUCAUUCAAGUGCCACAGGGACCUUGACUCCCCAGAAAUACUGACAGUCCUCAGAGCUGGAAGAAUAGAAAUGAAGACGGAGUGUGGGAUUCUAAGCCUGAAACAAGCAUCCCAGUUACGAGCACUUGGAAAACACAUUUUAAACCUGAAUUCUUUUGAAUUCUGAUGAUCCUUCAGAGUUUGAUGGAUGACUACUGUAAGGCUAUGAUUGUCAAAAUUUAUGUAAUGUCUCUCACUCGUGUCAUGUUAUUUGUAUGUGAAUAUUUAGCAAAUUAAUUGAUGCUGGGAGCUAAAACCCAAACAUGUUAUUUCCCACUGCUGUCUUUGAAGUUAGCUGUUGCUUCGGAAGACUGAUUAUAGAAACAACUGCACACAGUUAAAAUACCUGCCAUUUUCUGGGGCCUUUUUUUCCUUUUAAGAUUUAGACUCCUUAACUAUAAAUACAGUCAUGCUUUCCUUGUAGAUGACAACACUGGACUACUGAGAAACGCACCAAAACAUAUAUUGGGGCCUCUAAAUUCUGCUAUUACGUGAACGUGCUGAAAACUACCAAGAAGUAGCCAAACAAGAACUGUGGAGGUACUACUUAGACUGAACUUGCUUGCUAGCAGUCUUUCAACAGUGUGACGCAGAAGAAAAGGCUGUUUUGUGGUCAUAUAGCAUGGCAGUCUUGUAGGGAACCCUUGUGUUGCAACAAAGGAAAUGGUAAAGUUGUUUGUCUGUUGUUUUGUUUUGUUUUUUUCCAAAGAAGAGAAGUGAAAAAAAUUACGAGAAAAAGAUACAAGGGAGGCCUAACACACAGGAAAAGUAUGAAAAACGCAAACACAGUACUGACAGACCCUAAAGAUGCCGACCACCCUUUCUCAACUGCAGACACCAUUUAACUGAUCAACCAAACUCAUGCAUCAGUUCUGAUGUUGAGACCAGAGAAAAACAAAGCAACAUCACUUUGAUAAUGCUGAAACUUAGGCUUCAAAAAUUUGGGUAAGAGCCUGCCUACCUUGGCUUUUGUGCUAGAGAAGCUAGCAAGGCGGCCUCCUGGUAUUUCACGUGUUGACACAGAUUCAGCAACAGAUCACACUCUGGCAGGUGAAGAAUUUUUGCUUCCACCUGCCCAUCCCAUCCCACCCCAUCCGUCUGCUGCAGAGCACCAGGAAUGGCUCCAUAGCUUCCAAAUCACUUCCUCAGCUGCCGUUACUUACAGAGCACGCUGACAUUAGCUGACUUUGAUACCAGUUCACACAAAUUUGAUGCUAGAAGAGUUCAACAUCAGAUGUGGGGGCUACCAUUGCAACAAGGACAACAAAGAGAUGGAGCAAGUAUCCAAGAAAGGUAUAUCGCCUCCCUAAGCUUGGAGCGCUGAAAUAAUAUAGAUAAAUAACAGCAAGCCAAGUUAUGUACGAACCCAUAAUUUAAUAGGUAAAAAAAUGCCUUCAGAGGGGAAAACAUUCUAUUGCUUUGAUGACCUCCAGCUCUACGAGUAACAGCAAUGGAUGUGGUAAGCAUGUACGGAAUCUUUUAAGAUACGCACAAAAAGUGUAUAUCUUCUAAAAAUAAAUGUACGUACUUAACACUGAUGUAUUAACUGUUUACAAGAACUGCUCCUCACAUCAUCACUUGUCUGUGAAACAGGGCUGACUUUCAAGAAGCUACAUAGUACACACGAUGUUCAUGACUCACGCUAUGACUUCAGAAAGUGGCCUGAGCAAGCUGGAAGUUCACCAGGGGCAAAGAAGGGUUGGUGGCUCUCCUCUCCCCGCAGCCCCCUCGGGCCAUGGGCUCCUGAUGCUUACCUUGAGUCAGCUCAGGUACUCUGCUGAUCACCUGCUAAAUUAACACUCAGAACAGCAGAAUACGAACUCGGCACGCAACUCUACGUGUGGGUGGUUCUGCUCGGCUGGCAGGCUGAGCCGGCUGCCCUGCAGUCAGAAUUGGUGCAGCUGGGAGCGGGGACGGGAAGGAAGAUCACAGGGCAGCGGGGGCAAGGGAAGAGGGCAAAGGCAGAGCGAGACCUCCCCGUUCAGCAAGCUGCUAGCUCAGGGCUGCUACAAUCCGAAACUUCCCCGUCAGAGUCAUGUAAACGAAAUACUAACAGAGAUGAUUCAAAUGACUGAGUAUUAAUAGCCUUUCAUAAUGUAAGUAACUAUUUAAAGUAACUGAAUAAAAAUUUCCAAAUGACAGAUUUCUAGAAGCUGCUCACUGCUGGCUAUUGCCACAGGAACCAAACCGGCAGAAGUCGAACCUGAAGACGUACCUAUUACGUGUUCCUACACGUAACGUAUGUAAAUACAGCAGUGUUCCUACCACAACAGUUCUACAGACUAACAAAAUGAUGUUAAAAUGAUCAGGUUUUUAAAUUCUAAACCAUGUGUAUGUUCCAGCAUGCAAAAACAUCAUGAGCAAGAUAAGCAUCUUGCUAAAUAAGCCACUACAGGGGCUGAAAUACAAAAAAAUUCUCAGUGCCUUAAACAAGUACUUACAAGCAGAAGAAUUAAUACUACUCCUUGAAAUGAAAAACAAAAGAUAAGAAUCAGGUACUACAUGUUUUUUUCAUUUUGAGGAAGUGAAUUUUCAUAAAGGGAAAGGGGUUAAGUACUGCAGUGUUUUAGUCUUUGUGAAUCCACCCACAUAAAAAUUAGACCUCCCACAUACACAUUCAUAUACUCCAAAAGCUUUGAUCAUGCCAGAUGUAAAUAUUUCUUCUAGUAGCCUAUUACGCGUCCUCCAACUAUACAAUUGUUCUCUGUUAAAGCCUCGGUGAUAUUAUGGGGAACUGAAAGGAUGUAUUAGGAGUAUAUGCACAGAUUUUAAGGACAACCAUGAUAAAAUACAGGCAAAAUAGAAAAGCAGAACAUAUUCCUUGCCUAACAAAGCAUUCUGUAAUUGGUUUUAUACUGGAAAUUGUUAACUAAAGUUAAUUUUAGAUCAAAAAGUAAUGCAAUUUGUGCCAAUGUAUGCUGCGCUCAGAACAAACUUUAGUGAAGUAAAACUGCAAGGAAGCUGAGUGUAACAGUCCUGAGAGAAAGCCUCACAGAGAACAGUGUGCCAACAGCAAGGAUGUUUUCAAGGAAAACAUAGAGGGUUAAAUUCUCCAACUGAAAUUACAGAAGGUAAUUACAGACCAGGCGUACUCUAA